rnacentral:lncRNA from 1 species
CCUCUCAACUGCGCCAAAGGAAGUAUUCUGUGGACAGAGCCACUAUUACAGUCAUUCAUGGCCGGUAGCAUGCAAUUUUGAGACAGUUAUUUAUUUAUUUAUGUAUUUUGUAAUAAACGUUCAACUGGAUGACUUCAGCGGAGGCUUCAAAAACAGACAAUUGUUUUAUGCCAUGGCCCUCAUAGAUAAGCAUCAUAUUUUGAAUAGGCAACCAAUAUCCAUAGCUUCAUCCAAAUUGAUAUAUUAUGAAAGAAGACUAGCUUUAUGCCUUGAUUAAAUCCUCAUGGGCAAGGUUAUGCUGUUUUCUAUUUUCUAUUUUCUAUUUUUCUUCUUUGACAAUCCUACGACCCCACCAACACCU